rnacentral:misc_RNA from 1 species
ACGCCGCAGGGGUAUAAGGAUUGGCAAAGUGGAACUUGUAUAUGUACGGUACUGUCAUUUCGGGUACACCGACGAAUGUCGAACCUGUCCAGUUGCCUGUGCUCCAGUAACUGACACUUGCAUUAUAUAAAAGAUCAAAUUCGUUGUGCCCUCGGCUUAGCCUGAGAGAGUAUAACCCAGGUGAUGGGUCGGCUAAGCUCCGCCAAGAGGUUAAAGAUCGCUCUUUGGUGAUGUUCAUGCCAGGCAGCCAAGUGUCUGUUGGGUAAUCGAAACUUUGCCACAAGAGUGACCGGUUGGCUGAUAGUAGGACCAGAUUUCCAUCGUUUAGAAAGCGAAAAUCCGUUGCUGGCUCAUUGUUUGCGCUCUGCCAAAUGAUAGAAUUUGGCGACUCUAUUAUCGCCAGUUUGCCAGUUUCAGUGAUUUGUAGUGUGGAAGAGGCAAGAUUGGUGACUGGUGUUUCGCGAUUUGCUACCCAGACAUAAGUUGGAGUCGGGGUUGAUGCGUACCAAAUGCCCAGAUACCAUUUUGAACCUUCAUUUGGGCUGAAAAAGCCAAGCUGAAAAGUGUGGUUUUCGCUUGAAAUUGUGAGGUUUCCGCUGAUUAUAACAUUGGUAGACUCCAAUUUGUCGCUGAUGCUCUGUCCGGUAUAGUCUGCUAGUAAAUUUAAUGGCUUUUGGGUGGUGAAAGCCAAAUUUGAGGAAAUGGGCAAUCUGUUGCUGGGACUGUGUGUAAAUCUAGAGGUGGAAAAGCUAUCAUUAGUUCGAAAUUUGGCAACAAACGAAGCAUUGGAAGCUCCUACCAGAAGGUAGAAGAAGAAAUAAAUAGAAAUCAUGACGGAAUAAGCAUUGGGUAGUGACCUUUCAACGAGUUUAAUCAGAAAUGAUUCAGUUUGAUUUGCAAAGAGGAAAAGGGUAAAAGAAUAAACAGAGCAUCU